CAGCCGCCGCGGUAAUACGUAGGGUGCAAGCGUUAUCCGGAAUUAUUGGGCGUAAAGAGCUCGUAGGCGGUCUGUCGCGUCUGCUGUGAAAACCGGAGGCUCAACCUCCGGCCUGCAGUGGGUACGGGCAGACUAGAGUGCGGUAGGGGAGAUUGGAAUUCCUGGUGUAGCGGUGGAAUGCGCAGAUAUCAGGAGGAACACCGAUGGCGAAGGCAGAUCUCUGGGCCGUAACUGACGCUGAGGAGCGAAAGCAUGGGGAGCGAACAGGAUUAGAUACCCGAGUAGUCCCUGUCUCUUAUAA
rnacentral:rRNA from 1 species